GACGGGGGAUGCAAGUGUUAUCCGGAAUCACUGGGCGUAAAGCGUCUGCAGGUGGUUUCCUAAGUCCACUGUUAAACCUUGAGGCUCAACCUCAAAUCUGCAUUGGAAACUAGGAGACUUGAGUAUAGUAGGGGUAGAGGGAAUUUCCAGUGGAGCGGUGAAAUGCGUAGAUAUUGGGAAGAACACCAGUGGCGAAGGCGCUCUGCUAGGCCGUAACUGACACUGAGGGACGAAAGCUAGGGGAGCGAAUGGG
rnacentral:rRNA from 1 species